rnacentral:lncRNA from 1 species
GGCAAGCACAUGCAGGGCAGACAACUUUCCCGCUGGUGACAGAUUACAAAUGUGCAGAACUAGAUUGAGAGCCAACUUUCCCAGGCUGAAGGAGCAGAGUGGGGAGGAGGGGCUGAGAUGCAGUGAAGGAAAAAUAAUGAUAACAAGUAGAAGAGGAAGUGCUGUGUGGUAGAUCCAGCGUUCGGGUCUCUGUGGCCUGUGGAGAGGACGCACCACAGACUGCCCUGUGCCGCCUGGGCCAAACUGCCCCAGGCUAAGCUGUGCGUUUUUUGGAGCCUACCACAUUGCCUACCCGACGGUCCACCAGGCCCAGGACUGAACAGUAUCCUCUGCGGAGAAAGCAGCUGUGGAAACAGACAUUGAGGAAGCUGUAUCUUCUGGGUACAACCAGCUUCUCUUCUGGCUUGGCUGUGAAGCACUUAGUCUAGGAGCUGGUCUGACAUGAAGGAGGCAGAGUCAAUGUUGGUGUUGUGUGGUCUAAUUCAGGGAAAGUGAAGUUUGAAAGAGGGGGAGGCGAAUGAAUCCCAUAGCUCAUUUAUGAAUGGAUUUUAAGUUCAGAAUUAGAAAUUAAAGUAUUGAAGGUCAUAGAAAGGGAUUUAGGCAAUUUCCAUAUUUGAAAAGAAUUAAAAUUUUGACCAAGUGUAGAAAGUGAAAGAAAACAACAAUACACUCCCCCCAAGGCAGGGAGAUUUGCUUGGAGUGUGUCUGUGUUGCAACACUGUGAACAGUAACUUAAACUUCUCAAAGUACCUCAUUUUCUAGGACAAAGGAAAACAUUCCUGUUAAGGUCACAUAGGAACCACUUUGUGGUCUCUGCUACUGGUGUUUGCAUGUAAAUCCGUGCUGUGAUGUAAGCAUUUAAAAACCAAGAGUGCAGUUAUAGAUUUUAUUUGAAUUGUGUUACUAAUGGUAUAUUUUUGUUGUUGUUGUUGUUUUGUCUUUUUUGUUUUUGUUUUUGUAUUUUUUUAACAGACUUGAAGUCUUUCAAAAACAACUAACAUGCUGUGAGCUGGUGAGACAGCUCAGUGGGUAGGAUGCUUGCCCCAGCCUGUCUCCUCUUAGCCUCUGUCUUACACAUUCUAUAAUGUGUGUUUUCCUAGGAGGGAGCAGUAACAGCUUCUCUUAGGACUUUACCUCCACAGGUAAUUUUUACCUCCUCUAAGGUCUGGAUAGUGGAGACUUUAGGAACUCUCUAAGACUCCACAUUCCCAAGCUACUGAGGAAGAAAUGUGAGAUUCUGGGAUGGGAGGAAAGAUUACCAUGUGGGAGGGUCUGCUUUAAUGGCCUUAAGAUCCCUCCACAUCCAAGAUAUAACACACAGGGCAAAGUGUCCCUGGGGAAGAGGCCCAAGAAUGGACUAAGUCUUGUUCUAACUGAUCAGAUUCAUCAGUUCACAUUGAAUUAUUGGUCCAAAAGAAAGGUUUUAGAGGGUGCAGAGUAACUACGGUCACCAACCAUCCUCUGGAUCCCAUUUCUCAUCUCACCACAGAUAGUAACUAACAUGGCUCCUUGUAUUUUAAACUGUGCUAAGUUAUUCAAAACCUCCCUUUCCAACAGUAUUGUCCAACUGGACCAAAUUAAAUACCAAGAAUUAUUAAAAAGUUUCCCAGCUAGGCAAAAUAGAUGUUAAAGUUAUGAGGUCAGUGACCUAGUUUUAUUUUUCUUGGUAUCAGCAGUACUAAAAAUAAAAGGUUCUAUAUGCAAAAAGCUGACUACUGAAAUUCUGUCAUUAUUUAAAGUGUAAGAUAGUAUAAUGUGUUACAUAUGAGCCAUAAAACAAUAAAUCUCUUAAGUGGUGAUUAGAAAGUGUGUCUAAAUAACAAACUGCCUUACUAUUUGAAACAACUAAACAAAACUUGCUGGUCAUCAAAGAACUGAAUCAGCUGUUAAUAGCUAUUUCAUAUGCUAUUGUUUGUUUCUUUUAGUGUCAGUGACAAGGGAAACAUUAUUGACUGUGCACAAUGUUUGAAAUGUGUGUAUAUUAUUCCGACAUUCUGCUAUCUCCUUCCUCACACCUUUCUCCUUUGCAGAUGUUCCACUGACUUUUAAGUAUGGAAGUGACCAGUGCUCCUGUAAAGACAUGGACAAAAGGACUACAUGACGUUUCUUGAAAACAAAUACUAGUUUUCUCCAAAGUGGGAAUUUACACUAUGAUGGGCCUGUAUCAUUUACUCAUUUAGAGGUUUGUAUGCAGUGUUGCUCAGAAACAAAACCAGGAGAUGUCAGGAGAAGACAGACAAGAGCACAAAAGGUAAGAACUAGACCUUGUAGAGCUAAUGAGCUGAGAUUAGAUUACUGUGACUCAAUGCACUGUCCUCCUGGGCACAGUGCAACAAGUUUAUGAAUUUUCAAAUUCAUCAUUUUGGGGAAAGGAAUAAUAUUCUGGUAUCAAUAAAUGAUGAUUGGAGACGUGGGCCUUGGGCUGGAAGAAGAAAAUAACAUCUUCUACGUCUGGAGAUAGGUCUGUACUUAAGAUGCUUUUGAUCUGCCUCUGGGGUUGGAUUGAGCUGCUCAGUGAUGGGGAAUAAACAGACACAUUCCUCAGAUGUUUCAGAAUAGGCUUGAAGCUCCCUUAGCUCGGGAGUCAACUCAUGUGCAUCCUAGGCCAACAGUGGUACCAAAUGUGCCUCUCUUCCACAGCUUUCACUUGAGAUUGUUAGCUGUAUUGGUUCUCUGGGGCUUUGGACAUGAGGGAACUUCUAUUGCACAUGAGAAAGAAGAGCUCCUUUGCCACAGUGAAAACAGAGGCCAGAGGAACAGGGGAAAAGGCCAAAAGUGGUAUUUGAAGCUCAAACUGAGUUUGUGGCAUCACACAUCCCAGUUGUCACCAUGAGCUAAGAAAUCACUUUCUUACAGCCCAGGAAUAACUGGCACUCAUCACAAAUUCAGGUUAUCAAGAAAAGGCAAGAGGAAAACUUGUUCUGAGAUCAGAUAAGACAGCUUGGGACAGGACGACAACGCUCUAUGACAGCAGAGUAACACCCAGGCUUUUGAAACCUUGGGUAUGGUUGAUUUCCCUGAGGUUUUCUCUGAGUAGCCAGUCACCGUGCUCAGUUUGUGGCCCCGGAUCUGCCUGGCACUGUGGAUAUAAACAUGGUAUUUUUCCUGAAGGCAUUUGGACAUUUUCCCUGUGUGUUUCUAACAAUACUCUAGCCACUCACAUGAAUCUAACAAGUGUGGAUUUAUCUAAAUCUUUCUUUAUCCUAUUUAUAUUUGUGGACUAUGCAACAUCUUGAGGAUAAUGAGUUCCAUAUGUUUACUACCCACUGUAUGAAGAAAUGCCAUCUUUUAUUUAUCGUCAAACUACUUUCAUGGAAUUUCAAUGGGUGCUCUGAGUUUUAGCACUCUAGGAUUUGCGUGUGGCCACACUUUACAGCUACAGCCCACCCACAUAAGCAUUUAUGUAGGUAAGAAAUGGGACCCUCUCUAUCUAGGUUCUUGUUCUAGUUUCAUUUCUGUUGCUAUGACAAAGCACUCUACCAAACCCAAUUUUAGAGGAGAAAGGGCUUAUUCGGCUUACAAUUCUAGGUUACCAGACAUCAUGUGGAGAGGUAACAGCAGCGUUGGCUUGAGAAAUUUGGCAGCACCACAUCCAGAGUCAAGAGAAAGGAUAAACAAGUGCACCUAUGCUGCCUGCCUGCUCUCCAAUAGCUUUCUCUACUUUUACAUAGUAAGGACCUAGCCUAGUCAUUGGUGUGGCCCACAGUGGCCUGGGUCUUCUUGUAGCAUGAGUCCUAAUAGGUCAUAAUAAAUAAUCUGCCUUUUUAUCCUAUUCCU